GAUGAACGCUAGCGGCAGGCCUAAUACAUGCAAGUCGAGGGGUAGAAGAGGCUUGCUUCUUUGAGACCGGCGCACGGGUGCGUAACGCGUAUGCAACCUACCUUCAUCUGGGGGAUAGCCCGGAGAAAUCCGGAUUAAUACCGCAUAAAAUCACAGGAUGGCCUUAUCCAAUGAUCAAACAUUUAUGGGAUGGAGAUGGGCAUGCGUGUCAUUAGCUAGUUGGCGGGGUAACGGCCCACCAAGGCGACGAUGACUAGGGGAUCUGAGAGGAUGGCCCCCCACACUGGUACUGAGGCACGGACCAGACUCCUACGGGAGGCAGCAGUAAGGAAUAUUGGACAAUGGAGGCAACUCUGAACCAGCCAUGCCGCGUGCAGGAAGACUGCCCUAUGGGUUGUAAACUGCUUUUAUUCGGGAAUAAACCUUAUUACGUGUAAUAAGCUGAAUGUACCGAAGGAAUAAGGAUCGGCUAACUCCGUGCCAGCAGCCGCGGUAAAAC
rnacentral:rRNA from 1 species